AUUGAACGCUGGCGGAAUGCUUUACACAUGCAAGUCGAACGGCAGCACGGACUUCGGUCUGGUGGCGAGUGGCGAACGGGUGAGUAACAUAUCGGAACGUAUCCAAUAAUGGGGGAUAACGAGUCGAAAGAUUCGCUAAUACCGCAUACGCCCUACGGGGGAAAGCUGGGGACCUUCGGGCCUGGCGUUAAUGGAGCGGCCGAUAUCUGAUUAGCUAGUUGGUGAGGUAAAGGCUCACCAAGGCGACGAUCAGUAGCUGGUCUGAGAGGACGACCAGCGAUACUGGAACUGAGACACGGUCCAGACUCCUACGGGAGGCAGCAGUGGGGAAUUUUGGACAAUGGGCGCAAGCCUGAUCCAGCCAUUCCGCGUGAGUGAAGAAGGCCUUCGGGUUGUAAAGCUCUUUCGCAAGGGAAGAAAACUUAGCCACUAACAUUGGUUGAGGUUGACGGUACCUUGAUAAGAAGCACCGGCUAACUACGUGCCAGCCGCCGCGGUAA
rnacentral:rRNA from 1 species